GAUGAACGCUGGCGGCGUGCCUAAUACAUGCAAGUCGAGCGAACAGAUGAGGAUCUUGCUCCUCUGACGUUAGCGGCGGACGGGUGAGUAACACGUGGAUAACCUACCUAUAAGACUGGGAUAACUUCGGGAAACCGGAGCUAAUACCAGAUAAUAUAUUGAACCGCAUUGUUCAAUAGUAAAAGACGGUUUUGCUGUCACUUAUAGAUGGAUCCGCGCCGCAUUAGCUAGUUGGUAAGGUAACGGCUUACCAAGGCAACGAUGCGUAGCCGACCUGAGAGGGUGAUCGGCCACACUGGAACUGAGACACGGUCCAGACUCCUACGGGAGGCCGCAGUAGGGAAUCUUCCGCAAUGGGCGAAAGCCUGAAGGAGGAACGCCGCGUGAGUGAUGAAGGUCUUCGGAUCGUAAAACUCUGUUAUUAGGGAAGAACAAAUGUGUAAGUAACUAUGCACGUCUUGACGGUACCUAAUCAGAAAGCCACGGCUAACUACGU
rnacentral:rRNA from 1 species